UUGCAUGUGGAAAUGUCUGCUUCUCAUUCCUUUGGGGGCAGGAAUAUAUUCAUAACAUGCUACAUUAACAAAGGAGUUCUCAGGGCUGCCAACCUUCUAGUAAAGGUUGAGUGGUAGUAUAGUUCUCCUACAUAA
rnacentral:snoRNA from 1 species